rnacentral:rRNA from 1 species
AGCUCGUGUCGUGAGAUGUUGGGUUAAGUCCCGCAACGAGCGCAACCCCUAUUGUUAGUUGCCAUCAUUCAGUUGGGCACUCUAGCGAGACUGCCGGUAAUAAACCGGAGGAAGGUGGGGAUGACGUCAAAUCAUCAUGCCCCUUAUGACCUGGGCUACACACGUGCUACAAUGGUUGGUACAACGAGUUGCGAGUCGGUGACGGCGAGCUAAUCUCUUAAAGCCAAUCUCAGUUCGGAUUGUAGGCUGCAACUCGCCUACAUGAAGUCGGAAUCGCUAGUAAUCGCGGAUCAGCACGCCGCGGUGAAUACGUUCCGGGCCUU